rnacentral:rRNA from 1 species
GACGAACGCUGGCGGCGUGCUUAACACAUGCAAGUCGAACGGAAAGGCCCUGCUUGCAGGGUACUCGAGUGGCGAACGGGUGAGUAACACGUGGGUGAUCUGCCCUGCACUUCGGGAUAAGACUGGGAAACUGGGUCUAAUACCGGAUAGGAGCCAUUUUUAGUGUGAUGGUUGGAAAGUUUUUUGGGUGUAGGAUGAGCUCCCGGCCUAUCAGGUUGUUGGUGGGGUAAUGGGCUACCAAGGCGGCGGCGGGGAGGCGGCCUGGGGGGGUGGACGGCCAAAUUGGGGACGGGGAAAGGGCCAGGAUCCUAAGGGGAGCAAGAAUGGGGGAUAUUGGACAAUGGGGGGGAGGCUGAUGCAACGAAGGCGCGGGGGGGGUGAAGGGCUUCGGGUUGGAAAAUCGUUUCGGUAGGGAAGAAGCUGUUUGUGACGGUACCUAGAAAAGAAGCACCGGCUAACUACGUG